AAAACUUAGCCAUCCAAAUAUCCAUAGACUCUAAUGUUGUGGAGGACCCAUAGGCUUUUGGACAACUCUACCGCAUGGAUAUAGACUACUUCGCCACCAUGAAAGACAGGAAAAUGGCCUUCCUCUAAAAAUGGUGGCUCUAUCAGGAGCGGGUGCUUCCUGAUGAAGAUAAGGAUGUUGAUAAUAUGUCGGCACUCCGAGCCAAAAGACCGAAAGGCUGUUUUUAAGAGUUGAUCGCCCGGGUGGACACCGGAUGUUGCUGCCGAUGAAAAUAAGUUCCAAUCAACCAAUCAACCAAUCAACCAACCGGCCAAGUAACCAGCCAACCAACCAACCAACCUGCCAACCAGCCAAU